GUGGGGAAUUUUGGACAAUGGGGGCAACCCUGAUCUAGCCAUGCCGCGUGAGUGAUGAAGGCCUUAGGGUCGUAAAGCUCUUUCGCCGGGGAAGAUAAUGACGGUACCCGGUAAAGAAACCCCGGCUAACUCCGUGCCAGCAGCCGCGGUAAUACGGAGGGGGUUAGCGUUGUUCGGAAUUACUGGGCGUAAAGCGCGCGUAGGCGGAUCGGAAAGUUGGGGGUGAAAUCCCGGGGCGCAACCCCGGAAUUGCCUUCAAAACUCCCUGUCUUGAGGUCGAGAGAGGUGAGUGGAAUUCCGAGUGUAGAGGUGAAAUUCGUAGAUAUUCGGAGGAACACCAGUGGCGAAGGCGGCUCACUGGCUCGAUACUGACGCUGAGGUGCGAAAGCGUGGGGAGCAAACAGGAUUAGAAACCCUAGUAGUCC
rnacentral:rRNA from 1 species